GCUAUCUGGGAAAAACCCUAACCCUAAACCUAAACCUAAAACUAAACCUAGAGCUUGCUGGAGCCAGAAUACGGCCCUCUUUGAGCCAUUUCACACAUUACAUGGCAGCAAACCUUAGCUAACUACUGAACACUCCCUGUACACUCAACAGGGAGCUGCAGCCAAUCAUGUCUCCUUGAAAGUGUGAACCUGUAUGAUACAGACGUUUGCAAACACAAACGCAUAGCAUUCAUUCUUUACAUCUUUAUUUGUGCACUUAAAACAACUUGCAAUGUAUGAAGAGGUGUUACUGCAUGAAAUCCUGAGAUGUUUACUGAAAUGGUUGGGGUAGGCGGUGAAGCAUGUGUGCACCAUCACAUUUAGGGGGUCACCCACCACAUCAGGCACAACAGUCUCCAUGCUAGCACUUGGUUACAACUGUUGUCCAUAUGCUAAUAUCUGGGUAUGGUCCCAACCAUAACAUCCAUGCAGACACAGCCAUCCCUUUGUUCUUGGUGUUAGUAUAGCACAAGGGGCUUACAAAGGGGCUUACAAUUUUCCUCUACUUGUAUAUUUCAGACAACCUUUCACCACAACUGUUAUAUUGCUUGUUUUUCUUUUAUUUUUUAGGUCACAGUGAUUCUGUGAGCCUUCUGUGAUUCUGUUAUCCAACCUUGCUAAUUGGGCAAAGAAGCAUCUUUUAAAAUGUCAUGCCAUAAUUGUGAUUUAAGAUUAGAAGAACAGAAGUCUGAAUUUCUGCAAUCAAAUUAGCUUGAGAUUUUGCUUGUGUUUGCUUGAGGAUCCCCCCUCAUAAAAAAACGGUAUUUUA